GAUGAACGCUGGCGGCGUGCCUAAUACAUGCAAGUCGAGCGAACAGACGAGGAGCUUGCUCCUCUGACGUUAGCGGCGGACGGGUGAGUAACACGUGGAUAACCUACCUAUAAGACUGGGAUAACUUCGGGAAACCGGAGCUAAUACCGGAUAAUAUAUUGAACCGCAUGGUUCAAUAGUGAAAGACGGUUUUGCUGUCACUUAUAGAUGGAUCCGCGCCGCAUUAGCUAGUUGGUAAGGUAACGGCUUACCAAGGCAACGAUGCGUAGCCGACCUGAGAGGGUGAUCGGCCACACUGGAACUGAGACACGGUCCAGACUCCUACGGGAGGCAGCAGUAGGGAAUCUUCCGCAAUGGGAAAGCAUGACGGAGCAACGCCGCGUGAGUGAUGAAGGUCUUCGGAUCGUAAAACUCUGUUAUUAGGGAAGAACAAAUGUGUAAGUAACUAUGCACGUCUUGACGGUACCUAAUCAGAAAGCCACGGCUAACUACGUG
rnacentral:rRNA from 1 species